UGGGGGUUUUCUGGGUGUUUCAAGGGUUUUUGUGGGGUUUUGUGGGUUUUUGUGGGGUUUUAUGUGGUUUUAUGGGGUUUUUGUGGGGUUUUUGUGGGUUUUUAUGGGUUUUUAUGGGGUUUUAUGAGGUUUUUGUGGGGUUUUUGUGGGGUUUUGUGCUGUUUUUAUGUAGUUUUGUGGGGUUUUACGAGGUUUUGUCUGGGUUUUUGUGGGUUUUUAUGGGGUUUGUGGUUUUUUUGUGUGUUUUCAUGGGGUUUUGUGCCGUUUUUGUGUUCUUUAAUGAGUUUUUGUGCUGUUUUAUGCCUGUUUUAAGCGUUCCCUGUGCUCUCCGUGGGGUUUUACGCGAGGAUUUGAAGGUUUUUUUGUCGGGAUUUUUUUUGUGGCAAGCGAGAAAUUCGGGAAGAAACCUCGAGAGCUGCCGGGUCUCACCUUCAGCAUGGAGAUUUUCUCCUCCUCGCUGGAUUUCUGCUUCAUCACCGCGUCCAGCUGCUUCCGCAGCGACUCCACGUGGCUCUGGAGUUUGUUCUGAGGGAAGGAGGAGGAGCUCAGACCCCGCAGAGCCGCGGAAUUCUGCUCUCAAAAUCCCCCCCNNNNNNNNNNGUGGGGGUUUAUGGGGUUUUUGGGGGUUUUCUGGGUGUUUCAAGGGUUUUUGUGGGGUUUUGUGGGUUUUUGUGGGGUUUUAUGUGGUUUUAUGGGGUUUUUGUGGGGUUUUUGUGGGUUUUUAUGGGUUUUUAUGGGGUUUUAUGAGGUUUUUGUGGGGUUUUUGUGGGGUUUUGUGCUGUUUUUAUGUAGUUUUGUGGGGUUUUACGAGGUUUUGUCUGGGUUUUUGUGGGUUUUUAUGGGGUUUGUGGUUUUUUUGUGUGUUUUCAUGGGGUUUUGUGCCGUUUUUGUGUUCUUUAAUGAGUUUUUGUGCUGUUUUAUGCCUGUUUUAAGCGUUCCCUGUGCUCUCCGUGGGGUUUUACGCGAGGAUUUGAAGGUUUUUUUGUCGGGAUUUUUUUUGUGGCAAGCGAGAAAUUCGGGAAGAAACCUCGAGAGCUGCCGGGUCUCACCUUCAGCAUGGAGAUUUUCUCCUCCUCGCUGGAUUUCUGCUUCAUCACCGCGUCCAGCUGCUUCCGCAGCGACUCCACGUGGCUCUGGAGUUUGUUCUGAGGGAAGGAGGAGGAGCUCAGACCCCGCAGAGCCGCGGAAUU
rnacentral:lncRNA from 1 species